GAGGGUAUAGCUCAGUGGUAGAGCGCAUGCUUAACAUACAGGAGGUCUUGGGUUCAAUCACCGGUUCCUCCA
rnacentral:tRNA from 1 species